rnacentral:lncRNA from 10 species
CCACCUACGUUUGACCCCAGCGAGAUCAAAGUUGUAUAUCUGAGGUGUACCAGUGGUGAAGUCAGUGCCACAUCUGCACUGGCCCCCAAGGUCAGCUCCCUGGGUCUGUCUCCAAAAAUGGUUGCUGAUGACAUCACCAACCAUUGACUGGAAGAGUCUGAGGAUGAUAGUGAAACUGACCAGCCACAGCAGACAGGCCCAGAUUGAGGUGGUGCCUUCUGCCUCUGCCCUGAUCGUCACAACCCUCAGGAACCACCGACAGAAAGAAAGAAACACAAAAACAUGAAACACAGUGGUAGCACCACUUCUGAUGAGAUUGUCAACAUUGCCUAACAGAUGCAGCAGCAGUCUUUAGCCAGAGAACUCUCUGGAACCAUUAAAGAAUUCCUGGGGGCCGAAUUCCUGGGGCCUGCCCAGUCUGUGAGCUGCCAUGUUGAUAGUAUCACAGAUGAUACCAACAGUGAAGCUGUGGAAUGCCCAGCUAGUUAA